rnacentral:rRNA from 1 species
UACGUAGGGGGCAAGCGUUGUCCGGAUUUAUUGGGCGUAAAGAGCGUGUAGGCGGCUAGAUAGGUCCGUUGUGAAAACUCGAGGCUCAACCUCGAGACGUCGAUGGAAACCAUCUGGCUAGAGUCCGGAAGAGGAGAGUGGAAUUCCGGGUGUAGCGGUGGAAUGCGUAGAGAUCCGGAAGAACACCGGUGGCGAAGGCGGCCCGCUGGGCAGGAAGGCUCGCAAGAGCCGGCUGACGCUGAGGCGCGACAGCGUGGGGAGCAAACAGG